AAGAAAAAACUAGGAGUAAAAUAGGGCUGCUAACUUUAUUUUGGGUGAUUCGACUUCAUCCUUUUUCUUA
rnacentral:tRNA from 1 species